CUACCAUCUCUGAUUGCACCAGACUGCUGCUCACAGACAGAAGAGAUGGACUUCAACCAUCAAUAGCCAGACCAUGUUGCGGAGCCUUCGGUGGGCGAGCGAUCAUGUGAUUGAUGAAGAGAUGGCCAGCAAUAUAAUUGCUGUUGCAAAGGAGUUCCUGCAAGAGUAGCCUAUCAAGUCCCUUUGGAGGGAAGGCGAUAUCAGAUCA